rnacentral:rRNA from 1 species
UACAGAGGUGGCAAGCGUUGUUCGGAAUUACUGGGCGUAAAGGGCGCGUAGGCGGCUCGUCAAGUCCCGUGUGAAAGCCCCCGGCUCAACCGGGGAACGGCGCGGGAAACUAGCAGGCUUGAGUUCGGGAGAGGGAAGCGGAAUUCCGGGUGUAGCGGUGAAAUGCGCAGAUAUCCGGAGGAACACCGGUGGCGAAGGCGGCUUCCUGGACCGACACUGACGCUGAGGCGCGAAAGCUAGGGGAGCAAACGGG